rnacentral:rRNA from 1 species
GACGAACGCUGGCGGCGUGCUUAACACAUGCAAGUCGAACGAUGAAGCGGUGCUUGCACCGUGGAUUAGUGGCGAACGGGUGAGUAAUACGUGAGUGACCUACCUUUGACUCUGGGAUAAGCCUGGGAAACUGGGUCUAAUACCGGAUACGACCAAUCUCUGCAUGGGGUGUUGGUGGGAAGCGUUAUGGAGUGGUUUUAGAUGGGCUCACGGCCUAUCAGCUUGUUGGUGAGGUAAUGGCUGACCAAGGCGACGACGGGUAGCCGGCCUGAGAGGGUGACCGGCCACACUGGGACUGAGACACGGCCCAGACUCCUACGGGAGGCAGCAGUGGGGAAUAUUGCACAAUGGGCGCAAGCCUGAUGCAGCGACGCCGCGUGAGGGAUGACGGCCUUCGGGUUGUAAACCUCUGUUAGCAUCGAAGAAGCGAAAGUGACGGUAGGUGCAGAGAAAGCGCCGGCUAACUACGUG